UUUUAGCUGAAUAUGUAAUCAAUAAACUCAUUUUCUUUGUGUUCUUUUUUUUUUUCUCCUUUGUUUUGCUUCUCUUUCCUUUUUUUUAAUCAUCAUCUUCAUUUUUUUCUUACUAUUUUUUCGUCCAUUCUUUAUUUAGAAAACAAAAGCUGUCUCUUAUAAUAGGCUCAUCAAGACCUCGCUGAAUAUGUAAUCAAUAAACUCGUUUUCUUCUCUUUUUUUUUUUUUGCCACUUUUGUUUUGCUUCUGCCUUCUCUUUUUUCAUUUUUUCAUUUUUUUUUGUUUUUAUCAUUGUCAUCAUUCUUUUUUCUUACUGUUUUCUAUUCAUUCUUUAUUUAGCUGGAUAACAUAAGUAUGUUUUUUUUUAUCAUAAAAAGAAGAAAAAAAAAAUAGAGAAUGCAGAUGAAGAUAGAGACAAUUGACAAAAGUCAAUAGCUGGAACCAUUAAGAGAGCAAUGGCAGAAAAGCGAGGAAUGGAACUAGGAUAUGCUAGAUGGCUUUGACUUCUCAUUCUACACAAGUAACUAGCUCAGAGAUAUCAAUCCUAGUACGAUAUGCCAAAUUUCUUGGCAAGCAACUUGAAGACAGCGAGUUCUUUUGUCAAAUUCUUAGAUGCUUAUGUUCCACAUUUCACAUGUAGGAUCCAGUCAUAUUAGACUAUUUUAUGUCUUGUCAAAAUAAUGUGUAACUUAUUUUUCUUAAAUUGCUUUUCAUAGUUCUAAGGUUUUAAAAACAGUUGUAAAUUCAAUGUUUAAUUUGGAUAAGACUUGUUAGGCUUGCUUAGGGAUAAUUUCCUUGAGGACCAGUCAUGACUCAUUUUGGGUCGUGUCAAGAAGAAUAUUUUACUCCUGC